CUACACUUGCAAAUUUAUUUACAUGACCAGUCCUCUGGUAUUAAUCCCACUGAUAAAAGUUUGGACACCUUUGGCCUACAUCAGUGCAUCCUAGAUAGAACAAGGCUAAAAUUUCCCAAGAAAUAGACUGCAAACGUUUGCACCCCCUUAAAAAAAGCUGUCUUUUUCCACAGAUGCUGCUUUUUGGAUCAUUUAAUUAUGGUACAACUUAUAUUAACAGUGAGCAUCUUUGUAAAUAAAUAAAUUACAUUAAAAAUAAAUUCAAUCAGUUCAAAAGCGCGUAUCUCUUCUUGUGAGUGUGAUAUUCUAACAACCUCCAACAGUCAUUCUAUCAUCUGAGCUGAGUAGCUUCUGACGUUCUUGUCAAAUUUUAGCACAGGAUGCACUCACAUUUCUUUCUCUUUUUUUUCUUUUAACAACAUGGAAUUGGUAAUGAUAAUGUUCAUCCAGAAACCAUCAGGGAUGCAAAUUUUGCACUCCGGGCUGUCCGGUGCACUUUCAUUCAUUCACUUUAUCCUGGUCACAAAUGAGGUGGAUCCAGAACCCAGGAACACUGGACACCGGAAUAUACACAAGAGACAGACAGAGACAGAGACAGAGAGAGAGAGAGAGAGAGAGAGAAAGAGAGAGACCCAAGAUGAGCCUACGUCACGCAUGAAAACAACUAAUGCAGGAGAAUGCGUGGAAGAUCCACAAAUAUUGAGAGAAGCUCUGCAGAAUCAUCUCGUUUUCUCUAUGCAUGUUUAUAUUUUCUCUAUGCAUGUUUAUGUUUUCUCUAUGCAUGUUUAUGUUUUCUCUAUGCAUGUUAUAUUUUCUCUAUGCAUGUUUAUGUUUUCUCUAUGCAUGUUUAUAUUUUCUCUA
ensembl:lncRNA